rnacentral:rRNA from 1 species
CCUACGGGUGGCAGCAGUCGAGAAUCAUUCACAAUGGGGGAAACCCUGAUGGUGCGACGCCGCGUGGGGGAAUGAAGUUCUUCGGAUGGUAAACCCCUGUCAUGUGGGAGCAAAUUAAAAAGAUAGUACCACAAGAGGAAGAGACGACUAACUCUGUGCCAGCAGCAGCGGUAAUACAGAGGUCUCAAGCGUUGUACGGAAUCACUGGGCGUAAAGGGGGCGUAGGCUGUUUCGUAAGUCGUGUGUGAAAGGCGCGGGCGUAACCCGCGGACGGCACAUGAUACUGCGCGAGUAGAGUAAUGGAGGGGGAACCGGAAUUCUCGGUGUAGCAGUGAAAUGCGUAGAUAUCGAGAGGAACACUAGUGGCGAAGGCGGGUUCCUGGACAUUAACUGACGCUGAGGCACGAAGGCCAGGGGAGCGAAAGGGAUUAGAUACCCGAGUAGUC